UGUGAGUUGUAACUUGCUUGAAAAGCUG
rnacentral:piRNA from 1 species